rnacentral:rRNA from 1 species
UACGUAGGGGGCUAGCGUUGUCCGGAAUCAUUGGGCGUAAAGCGCGUGUAGGCGGUUCGGUAAGUCCGCUGUGAAAGUCGGGGGCUCAACCCUCGAAUGCCGGUGGAUACUGUCGAACUAGAGUGCGGAAGAGGCGAGUGGAAUUCCUGGUGUAGCGGUGAAAUGCGCAGAUAUCAGGAGGAACACCAAUUGCGAAGGCAGCACUCUGGGACGUGACUGACGCUGAGACGCGAAAGCGUGGGGAGCGAACAGG